AUUGAACGCUGGCGGCAGGCCUAACACAUGCAAGUCGAGCGGAUGAAGGGAGCUUGCUCCUGGAUUCAGCGGCGGACGGGUGAGUAAUGCCUAGGAAUCUGCCUGGUAGUGGGGGAUAACGUCCGGAAACGGGCGCUAAUACCGCAUACGUCCUGAGGGAGAAAGUGGGGGAUCUUCGGACCUCACGCUAUCAGAUGAGCCUAGGUCGGAUUAGCUAGUUGGUGGGGUAAAGGCCUACCAAGGUGACGAUCCGUAACUGGUCUGAGAGGAUGAUCAGUCACCAUGGAACUUGAACACGGACCCUGCUCCUACGGGAGGCAGCAGUGGGGAAUAUUGGGCAAUGGGCGAAAGCCUGAUCCAGCCAUGCCGCGUGUGUGAAGAAGGUCUUCGGAUUGUAAAGCACUUUAAGUUGGGAGGAAGGGCAGUAAGUUAAUACCUUGCUGUUUUGACGUUACCAACAGAAUAAGCACCGGCUAACUUCGUG
rnacentral:rRNA from 1 species